UCCUCUUUUUCUCAUUCAAAUCAGUCAUGCAUUCAAAAUCCGCUUUCCUUCUGAUCGUGGUGGCAGUUAGCACCACGGCCAUGGUGCACGGCCACCCUGCCGCUAGCACUCCGGCGGGACGGUUCUGGGAGCAGGCCCUCUCCGGCACGCCUAUGCCGGAGGUUCUAGCUGAUUUUGUUCAGAAAGGUAAUCUUCUAACAUGUUUAAUUAUAUGUUUGGUAUAUAAAUACCUAAUAGGUUUUCCUUAUAUAUAAUUACUAGCAAAAAUACACGUAUGUUGUGACAGAAUUUACACCCUGGGACGUCUGUUCUAAUAUUAGGCUGCUCGGCUGUGCUGGCUUAACUUAUCUGCAGCUGCAGUAACCAGGUGGCAGCAGCGACAGUACACAUUCAGUUCAAUAGGCCACAGCCCAAUAAGCCUAUUCAGUCCAAGCGAUCGAGCAAGCCAUGAUGUUCUGAGAUGAGAUUUCGUACUGUGAUUGAGCAUAUAACCAUCUAAUUUUUUUUCGUAAAAACACUCCAAAAAUUCAGUUUUAGCACAAGCUGAAAAAACCCAAUAGGUCCGAUCAACAAACUUCCUCCUUAUAUUUCUGCACUUUUGCACUCCUCGUUCAUCCAUGGGUCGCUUGCAGCGGUGCGGGGAUAGAGGUUCAGGUACCUCUUUAUCCGCCAUGGACGACAGAGCACCGUGCAUGACUUCCUGCUGCGCGCUCGAUCUAGCAGCGUGACUGGUAGAAGAGGCUGUGCUGUACGUGGGCUACUUCAGACAUCAUCAGAGUUAUAAUAUGACUGGCUCCUUGCUGCAAAGCUGCCGCUCUUAAUUUUUUAAAGCUCGUGGUGCAAAUUUAGGUUUUCAUACAACUAAUCUUGGAAAUAUUGGAGGAUGGGUGGUGUUCUGCAUGCUCCCAAUAUUUUUAUUUAUUUUUUGGCAAGCUUCAGAAGCAGUUUUCUAGCACUCAUUUUUCAAGUUCGGUUGGAAAUGAUCUAACUCGUGUGAGCAUCGAUCGUGAGUAACGGGACAAUAAAUAAGUUAGAACUGUAAUCUCUAAUUUAUCAUGUACUUCUUCCUCUAUUCCAAACUGUAAGCAAGAAUCUUAGAGAUUCAAAGAAUUUUAAGUUUGACAAAAAUUAUAAAGAAAUCUACAAAUAUUUGUGACAUCAAAUAGGUAUAUUAUGAAAAUAUAAUUAAUGAAGAAUCUAAUAAUACUUAGUUGACAUCAUGAAUGUUAUUAUCUUAUCAUAUAAAUUUGGUCAAACUUGAGAAGCUUUGACUCUUCUAGAUUCUUGGAAUGACUUACAAUUACUACUCUUAGUAAACUGACUAGAACUCUUAUACUUUAUAAACAAAUUAGAACUGUAAAAUUCAAUUCAUCAUGUACUAGUACUCUUAGUAAAAUCGGCUAGAACUUCUAUACUAUGGAGAGUGAUGGGACACAUCGGAAGAGAGUCUAAUAUGGACCAAAAUUCAGAGGAAUAAAUUUUCGCCUUUUAAUAUUAAGGAACGUAUCUGGUGCAAACCAACCUCUCCGUGCAACCGUGCAAACUUCUAAUCGGAGCUACAGGAUGUUGAUCCAAGGGGGAAUGGAAGGGGGAUUCGCAAAAGCGUGAUUAGGGGCCGACGGUUAAGUGUAAAAUUACGUAAUCCCCACGCCCCCUUGGAUCAACAUCCUAUGGCCCAGAUUAGAAGUUUGCAUGGUUGCACGGAGAGGUUAGUUUUUUUGCUUUAAUAUUAUGUAUGUAUAUAUAGAGUUACCGAAACGACUCCUUGGCGAUCGAUCGCGGGAGCGAUCGAUUCCGACCGCGCUCGUCGCUCCACCUAUUCCCUUUCCCUUUCUAGCCUUUUUCCUUUUCUGGAAAAGCCCAGCCGUGCGCAAUUCCCUUUUCCUUUUCCAUCCCCUCCUCCUCCGCUGCAGCUGCCCUGCUGCUUCCCCUCCCCCUCCUCGCCGAGGCGCCUCACGAGCGCUGUGCCCGCACGAGCGCCGCGAGGGAGGUGGCUAGUACGACGAGGCGUCGCGCCAGCACUAGCACCGCGAGGUCAAAGGGCAGCAACAGGCAAUACGGCGAGGCGCAGCAACCGCACGGGCUCCGCGAGUUCCAGGGCCGGAAGCGGCCAAUACGGCGAGGCGGUGCCUGUCUGGCGGCCGUACGGCCUCCGCCGCGUGCGCGACCUUGCUCCUGCGCCUCCUACCCGGGCUGGACCUCCCCCCGUGCGUCGUCCCCACCCGCAUCACCAAGCUUCCCAACGGCGUCCGCGACUCCGCGUCGCCUCCGAGGAUGUCCAGGGAGCAGCACAGGGAUGGCGAAUUUGGCCGCUCUGCUCUGAUGAUGCCGUUAGAGCACAACUUGCUCGUUCUCAGCAUGAGGAAGAAGAUGAUUUAAAUGUUUUGGAAGGACUAAUCCAGUGAGGAUGGUGGACAAGAAAAUAUAGAAGGAAUGUGUAUGUCAAAACUGAAGAAAAGCAGACCACCUUGGUGGCUCUGUUCUCACAAAAGAAGAUUGUUUACUGUUUCACACAAAAUCGGAUUUUUGCCAGCAACUCAUCCACCUUGGUCUCAUCUUUCGUUGACGACCGAGCAUCACGUAGCAAUAUCUCUGCGAAAAUCCAUAGAAGUAUCGGAACCGGCUGUGGAUAUGGGAAAAAGAAAAUCCCUAAAAUGCAUCUCUGAAACAAUGGCAUUUUUUCAGUGAAUGAACUAAGGAUAGCAGGUGCCACUGUUCCAGAUUGUACUAAUUCUCUGAAAAUUGAUUUGUUUUUCUGUAGCAAGUUGUCGUAUGAAUUUCAAAAAGGAACUAUUCUCUGAAAAUUGUUUCGUAUUUCUGUAGCAAUUUAUUGUAUGGAUUCUGAACACUGUUCAAGGAAAUCAGCAGCUGCCAUUGUUCGGAGAAUGAGCUAAUUCUCUGAAAAUCGUUUUGUUUUUCUGUAGCAAGUUAAUGUAUGAAAUCUGAAUUUGUUCAAAGAAAUCAGCAGCUGCCCUUAUUUUACAUCAGUUUACCCCCUCUUAGUAGAAAGGAACAACUCAUUUCUCUCGCUACUCCUAAUUUUGUGUUGUGCUUUUGUGUAGGAGGAGGAAUUGAUUCUCAGACCACAAAAACAACAGAACAACAGGGAUGAUAUUCAGGAGGAGAAAUUGAUUCUCAGAUCACAAAGAACCACAGAGCAGCAAGGGUGAUAUUCAGGUUGACAUAUCUCCAUAGACAAUCUAACCUGUACAGGGAUGAGUAAGAUAUGAAAAACUUCAAUUGAAAGCACCGCAAAGCCCAAGAAUAGUACAAUGGGCUCGACAUUGGUUGAACAUAGGGUUCUUGCAUGCAAGUGUAUGGCCGGGUAAAUAAGUACGUGAUUAAUAUGUUGGGAAAAGCAGUAAUGGUCGAGCAAAAUGAAUAGGAUAGACACAAUCUUCUCCCACCAAGUUACUGGUCAAGAUACUAUAUCGAAUGCGACAUUGCUAAAUUAUUCCAAAAGGCAUUUGAAACUCCAAUGGCGUUAUCUGUUCACCUGAGGGAGAGAAUGAUAGGAUUCCAGCUUGAUCGAAUUCACAUGGUGUUUUUACCUUUAAGCUCAUACGGUUUCUGUACACAGUUGUUGCUAACUUUAGGAAAAAAAUGUUCGAAGUCCUCUGCCCAAACAACAGAACCGACUUGAUUGCUGACGAUGCUCAGCUUGUAAUCAAGAAUUUCAAAGCUUCUUUCAGGCUGGCAUACAACAGAUCACAAGUAAAUGUGACUGACAUGGGCGUGUCUUUCUGGAGUGUGUGCUCUUCAAAAUAAAGAGAGCAUGCAAAGAGCCUGCGCGAGAGUCUAACUUACUACAUGGUCGCUCACCCUUGCAAUGAAAACCUGAUGCCAGAAACCAAACAAAUCUUAAGAAAAUAUGGUGUUCCAUUCGACUACUCGAUACGUGUGACUAAACGAAAAUUUUAUUUCAUUUCCUCUGUCUUUUUUGCAAACAGAUUUAUUUCUCUUUACAGUUUUUCCAAGGUUGUAUGUAUUCCCCUGUGAUUUCUAACCUUUUCUUUUUCUUUUCCCAUGAACAUAAAUCUCACAUACUCCAGGGUAUUCUCCAUGGGGUCCUGUUGCACA